GAUGAACGCUGGCGGCGUGCCUAAUACAUGCAAGUCGAGCGAACAGACGAGGAGCUUGCUCCUCUGACGUUAGCGGCGGACGGGUGAGUAACACGUGGAUAACCUACCUAUAAGACUGGGAUAACUUCGGGAAACCGGAGCUAAUACCGGAUAAUAUAUUGAACCGCAUGGUUCAAUAGUGAAAGACGGUUUUGCUGUCACUUAUAGAUGGAUCCGCGCCGCAUUAGCUAGUUGGUAAGGUAACGGCUUACCAAGGCGACGAUGCGUAGCCGACCCGAGAGGGUGAUCGGCCACACUGGAACUGAGACACGGUCCAGACUCCUACGGGAGGCAGCAGUAGGGAAUCUUCCGCAAUGGGCGAAAGCUUGACGGAGCAACGCCGCGUGAGUGAUGAAGGUCUUCGGAUCGUAAAACUCUGUUAUUAGGGAAGAACAAAUGUGUAAGUAACUAUGCACGUCUUGACGGUACCUAAUCAGAAAGCCACGGCUAACUACGUG
rnacentral:rRNA from 1 species